AGGCCUCCCAUCGUCUAAAUCAACUAGUAAAACCUAUGAAUCACUUGGAACCAAAGACGCUGUUGAAGUGUAUGAUGAUUUAGAUAAUCAUAAAGGCCUGCCAUCGUCUAAAUCG